UUAAUUAUUUGGAAAUUGUUUUCUUAUCUCAUGAAAUGAUAGUGAAGUAUGUUUUAUUCCUAACUGAGAUGUCACAUCUGAUUGCUACUUUCUUUUCUGUGCUCUGAUCAUAUUCAACAUCCCACGAGUAGAGCAUUAUUUUCCUUCUUUCUUUCGGGACUAGAUUUAUAGUCGAUAUAAAAAAAAGACAUACAUUUUCAGGAAAAAUAUGAGAAGGCUAUUGAUUCUAUUGCUCGGAUGGAAAAGAGGGUCGUAAUGGCAUAAUCGAUGUUGGAGGCUACUUUGCAAUAUGAAAGUGGCCAAGCUGAAGCGGUGUCUUCUCCACGGACACCACAUGCUACACUGGAUAGCCCCAGAAGAAAGGCGGGGCUAUUGUCGUUCGGACUUGGCUGGCGUGACAAGAACAAGCUUUUAAACUUGGAUUUUUGACAUAGCAGGACAAACUCGAUUUCGAGGAGUCGACAGACCAAAAAUCCGAC